rnacentral:rRNA from 1 species
GACGAACGCUGGCGGCGUGCUUAACACAUGCAAGUCGAACGGUAAGGCCUCUUCGGAGGUACACGAGUGGCGAACGGGUGAGUAACACGUGAGUAACCUGCCCUUGACUUUGGGAUAACAUCUGGAAACAGGUGCUAAUACCGGAUAUGAGCUUGUCCUGCAUGGGAUGGGUUGGAAAAGCUCCGGCGGUCAUGGAUGGACUCGCGGCCUAUCAGCUUGUUGGUGAGGUAAUGGCUCACCAAGGCUUCGACGGGUAGCCGGCCUGAGAGGGCGACCGGCCACAUUGGGACUGAGAUACGGCCCAAACUCCUACGGGAGGCAGCAGUGGGGAAUAUUGCACAAUGGCGGAAGCCUGAUGCAGCAA